rnacentral:rRNA from 1 species
GACGAACGCUGGCGGCGUGCUUAACACAUGCAAGUCGAACGGUGAACCACUUCGGUGGGGAUCAGUGGCGAACGGGUGAGUAACACGUGAGCAACCUGCCCCUGGCUCUGGAAUAACUACGGGAAACCGUGGCUAAUACCGGAUAUGACCACUUCUCGCAUGGGAUGGUGGUGGAAAGUUUUUCGGCUGGGGAUGGGCUCGCGGCCUAUCAGCUUGUUGGUGGGGUAGUGGCCUACCAAGGCGACGACGGGUAGCCGGCCUGAGAGGGCGACCGGCCACACUGGGACUGAGACACGGCCCAGACUCCUACGGGAGGCAGCAGUGGGGAAUAUUGCGCAAUGGGCGGAAGCCUGACGCAGCGACGCCGCGUGAGGGAUGACGGCCUUCGGGUUGUAAACCUCUUUCAGCGCCGAAGAAGCGAAAGUGACGGUAGGCGCAGAAGAAGCACCGGCUAACUACGUGCCAGCAGCCGCGGUAAUACGUAGGGUGCAAGCGUUGUCCGGAAUUAUUGGGCGUAAAGAGCUCGUAGGCGGUUUGUCGCGUCGGAUGUGAAAACCCAGGGCUCAACUCUGGGCCUGCAUUCGAUACGGGCAGACUAGAGUUCGGUAGGGGAGACUGGAAUUCCUGGUGUAGC